UGGGGAAUAUUGGUCAAUGGACGGAAGUCUGAACCAGCCAUGCCGCGUGCAGGAAUAAGGUCCUAUGGAUUGUAAACUGCUUUUAUUUGGGAAUAAACCUCCUUACGUGUAGGGAGCUGAAGGUACCACCGGAAUAAGCAACGGCUAACUCCGUGCCAGCAGCCGCGGUAAUACGGAGGGUGCAAGCGUUAUCCGGAAUCAUUGGGUUUAAAGGGUCCGCAGGCGGGCUAAUAAGUCAGAGGUGAAAUCCCACAGCUUAACUGUGGAACUGCCUUUGAAACUGUUAGUCUUGAAUUAGGAGGGCGUUGGCGGAAUAAGUCAUGUAGUGGUGAAAUUCAUAGAUAUGACCUAGAACACCGCCAGCGAAGGCAGCUAACGAAUCCUAUAUUGACGCUCAUGGACGAAAGCGUGGGGAGCUAAC
rnacentral:rRNA from 1 species